CUCACCUCGUUUACGGAACGAGAACACGUCCAGCAACUUCGCAGCGACACUGCGCACAUGUGAUCCUGUUCAACUUGCUGCUAUUGGCUACUAACCCGGAAGUAGCACUAGCGAAUAGUAAUCCGAAAAAGAAAGACUGAUGAUACACCAAGUACUCUCCUGCUGUCACUCUAAUCAUCUUGGCUGUAGUGGUCCAGUCUUCUGGAAGCUCCUUCUGUCCAACAAGAGCCUGUCUCACCUCUUCUCGAAAAGAAAUGACAACUGCAACCUCCUUUGACCUUGGGGGGAGCAGGUAAUAACUGAGGUGAAGAUGAGCAGGAGACAAGCCAUCCUCACCUACUCGCCCGCGCACCUGUUCCCAAUCAGUACUUAUCACUGCCUGUAUUUAAGCCUGCCUGAUCCAGGGAUCCAGCGCCAAAGUGUGGUUGGUGUGGGCAGCAAAGCAGGAGACAUGGGAGGACUACACGAACGAGUGGGACCAAGGAGCUACCAGCUAGGAUUUUAGUCAAAGAUUAUUAUGCGCUUUCAUCGUUACAACUGGCCCCUUGUGUGCAACCACGAAUGCAUCGUCGCCUGUGAUGAAAUUUGAGUUGAGAGUGUGACACGUCUGGUUGAAGUCAUCUACAAUGUUGUAGAUGGUAUUGCCUUGGCCUGACCAGGUACAUUUUCUAUUUUUCCAAUAGAAAAGUAUAUAGCUACUAGAGCUGUGCAGUGGAAAAGGGGCAUAUGUUUGCCUUACUAAAUGACUUUAGUAAUGUAGUUGGUGGUUGUAAAGUUUAGUAGUUGCUGUAUUUAAACAUCUUAGCAGUUUAUUUUAACUGUUUAUCCAUCUAAACCAUUUAGUGUCUCUGCUUUGCAGCUUGUUAAAUUUAAUCCUAGAAUGUAAUGAUGUUGAUGUUUUUUUAUGUUCAUAAUGUUCCCUGUGUGUGGUAUCUCAUAAUUACUCAGUUACCUCUGUUGUAAUAACUCGAACCCCAUCUUCAGCCUGCAUUCAUAUGAUUCACUAUUACUUUGUGCAAAACCAUUGUAUUCAUUUAACACUGCCGUGGAAUGUUCCUCAGGAUGUUAAUACUAUUGUGUAAAAGUAUAAUGUGUAACUUUGUCAUUCUUUGUCAAAUGUAAUGUUGUAUGAGAACUGUACACCGUCUUUCCACUGCACAGCUUUGUAAUAAAUUCACAAAAAUGC